GCUAAUCCAUGGUCGAAGUCUUGCUAACACUCAGUGCCAGCCACAGGAUUUCAAGUUCUCUAUGAAGGAUAACCUGAAUAUUCAACUAAUGAUACCAUCUGCAGAUCAAAUUACAUCAUUCCUGUUGAGAACGCCUUCAGUCAAAGGCAAAUUCAAAGUAAGAGACCAAAUAGAAGGCACAAACAUGAGUGUAUAUAACGACAGUCAUCUUCCUUUUUGACAAGCACACCAAAAAUACACACAUUCAACAAAUGGUGAGAGAACUGAGUGUGAGAAGAGUGGAAUUAACCUGUAUCUAUUACCUUUGUACAAAGUCAUCUCCAAAUGCAUCAAAGAUCUCAACAUGAAAAUUACAAAACUUGAAACUAUUAGGAAAAAAAAAACAGGCCAAAUCCUACAAAGAUAAGCACAGAAAGUUAAGCACUUCAGUUGACAAAAGAGACCUGAAAAAUAAAAAGGAGAGGAAGAAUCUGAGUGGAGGGGAAGCCAUGAAUGUGGAUUUGGAAUAGUUUACAGCUAUACAUCUCGGUAACAAUAAUAUGUAGAAUAUAAAAGAAAAUCUAUCAAGGAAACAAGCAAAGCAAAUAAAACUGAGUGCUGGACGUGGAAUGAGACUUCUCCAAAGAAACACAAAUCCAUCAUAGGAAUAUCUUUAAAAGUGCUUGGCAUCCUUAGCAACUAAAAAAAGUGAAAGUUAAAACUAUUUUGCUUUCAUCCUUAUCCCAGGUGCAAAGGCUAAGAUCAAGAAACAACUGACAGCAAAUGAAAGUAGUGAUAGGGAAACAUUAAUUUAUAAGCUUACUCAAAACUACCUAAGAUGUAUUUGCACACAGAUAUAUGCAUGUAAUUAUGCCACAAAGCACACAAUGUGAUAAUGCCCCCCAGCUCCUGCAAGAAUCAGAGAUUAUCUAACCAAAAUCCCAUGGAACACCUCUUUCAAGUUGCUUGUCCAGGAAAGUCCAGGAGAUGCCCAACACAGCAUGAGUUGUUGCUAUUGCCCUUAGGUACUCACAGAAUCUGAAAAGCCCUUUUGAUAGAGAGAUGCUACAAUUCUGAAACAGAAUGUAAAGAAGAAUGAAACAGAAUGUAAAGAAUGAAACAGAAAAGAAAUCCAACUGGAACUGACCUCAAAUCAUCCUUUCUGAGGGCUCGCUCUCACAGAAGCUAUAUAAGCCACCUCAGGAGAGUAAAUCAAUCAACCAAUUGUCCUACCAGAUGUAAAACUUAAAUAAAAUGAAAGUUCACUGAUGUUUUUUAAUUACAGGGAAAAUAGUGACAAACUUUGGUGUCAUAUAUGAAGAUUUGUGCUUCUCUCAGUGUGACCUUGCUGUAUGACUAAGUGUCACUCAUGACUCGAACAGCAGAGGUCCUCAUCAGUUUACCUUGGAUCUUUGUGUGUCAUUUUGUCACAGCAACCCCAGUAGAAUCUGUGUGACAAGUUGCACAGACUGAGGUGAAAACUUCAAAAGAAGGAGACCUCCUGGAACCAGUUGUGGAACUCUUGGCUGGAGCAAAAUAUUGAGCCAUAGUUCUCAUGGCACUUUAUCUGUUUUACUUAUUUUUUUAUUCUUUUUCUUAUUUCCAAGAUGUUCCUGAUAGCCUAGGCUAAGAUCUUAAGCAAGAAAAAUGUGUAAGAAACCAUCCCUUGAGAUGGGGUCACUAACCAUGACCUUAUCUCUGGGAAAACCAGUGUUUUACUUCAUAAAUCAUUUAUAAAAUUACAUAAUAGUAUUGUGAUAGAUAAAAACUUUCCCAAUAAUAAAAUUUCAUAUGGCUGCAUGUGUGUCAUCAGAAGUGGACUUUGAUAUAUGGUAAAGAAAGCCUUAAAUAAAAAGAAUUAAAAUAGUUUAAAUUUAUGCUUUGAAGAUUUACAAAAAAAAUCAGGCACUAGAUAUUAAACAAUGACUAACCAUAAAAAUUUAUUAACCUGCUCUUGUAUAUAUGCCGCUAGCCUUGGAUAACUGUACCACUGAAUACACCCUUUCAGAGUUGUAAUACUAGGCUGAUUCUUAUUGUGCCAAAUAGCAAUGAUGUUAACAGUUCUAUCCAUGAUUACUGAAUACACUUUUUCGGAGUUGUAAUACUUGGAUGAUUUUUGUGCUUUAUUGUGUCAAAUGAGAGUAUCUGUCCUAUUCCUGAUUGUUUCACUGAAUACAUCUUUUCAGAGUUGUAAUACUUGUUUUUUUAUGUAUUAAAACCCUUGCUUGAGAGCUGCAAAAUACACUCACAUUCAUACUGCA